AGUGAACGCUGGCGGUAGGCCUAACACAUGCAAGUCGAACGGCAGCACAGUAAGAGCUUGCUCUUACGGGUGGCGAGUGGCGGACGGGUGAGGAAUACAUCGGAAUCUACUUUUUCGUGGGGAUAACGUAGGGAAACUUACGCUCAUACCGCAUACGACCUACGGGUGAAAGCAGGGGAUCUUCGGACCUUGCGCGAUUGAAUGAGCCGAUGUCGGAUUAGCUAGUUGGCGGGGUAAAGGCCCACCAAGGCGACGAUCCGUAGCUGGUCUGAGAGGAUGAUCAGCCACACUGGAACUGAGACACGGUCCAGACUCCUACGGGAGGCAGCAGUGGGGAAUAUUGGACAAUGGGCGCAAGCCUGAUCCAGCCAUACCGCGUGGGUGAAGAAGGCCUUCGGGUUGUAAAGCCCUUUUGUUGGGAAAGAAAAGCAGCAGGUUAAUACCCCGCUGUUCUGACGGUACCCAAAGAAUAAGCACCGGCUAACUUCGUG
rnacentral:rRNA from 1 species